rnacentral:rRNA from 1 species
GAGAGGUCGAACAGCCACAUUGGGACUGAGACACGGCCCAAACUCCUACGGGAGGCAGCAGUAGGGAAUUUUCGGCAAUGGAGGAAACUCUGACCGAGCAACGCCGCGUGAACGAUGAAGUAUUUCGGUAUGUAAAGUUCUUUUAUUGAAGAAGAAAAAAUAGUGGAAAAACUAUCUUGACGUUAUUCAAUGAAUAAGCCCCGGCUAACUAUGUGCCAGCAGCCGCGGUAAGACAUAGGGGGCGAGCGUUAUCCGGAAUUAUUGGGCGUAAAGGGUGCGUAGGCGGUUAGGAAAGUCUAUAAUUUAAUUUCAGUGCUUAACGCUGUCUUGUUAUAGAAACUACCUUGACUAGAGUUAGAUAGAGGCAAGCGGAAUUCCAUGUGUAGCGGUAAAAUGUGUAAAUAUAUGGAGGAACACCAGAAGCGUAGGCGGCUUGCUGGGUCUUGACUGACGCUGAGGCACGAAAGCGUGGGUAGCAAACAGGAUUAGAUACCCUGGUAGUCCACGCCGUAAACGAUGAGUACUAAGUGUCGGGAUAAAACUCGGUACUGAAGUUAACACAUUAAGUACUCCGCCUGAGUAGUACGUACGCAAGUAUGAAACUUAAAGGAAUUGACGGGACUCCGCACAAGCGGUGGAUCAUGUUGUUUAAUUCGAAGAUACACGAAAAAUCUUACCAGGUCUUGACAUGCUCUGCAAAGCUAUAGAAAUAUAGUGGAGGUUAUCAGGGACACAGGUGGUGCAUGGUUGUCGUCAGUUCGUGUCGUGAGAUGUUAGGUUAAGUCCUAAAACGAGCGCAACCCUUGUCGUUAGUUACCAGCACGUAAUGGUGGGCACUUUAACGAGACUGCCAAUUAAACAUUGGAGGAAGGUGAGGAUUACGUCAAAUCAUCAUGCCCCUUAUGAUCUGGGCUACAAACGUGAUACAAUGGCUGUUACAAAGAGUAGCUGAAGCGCGAGUUUUUAGCCAAUCUCAAAAAAGCAGUCUCAGUU